GAUGGUGCUGGCCUGGCAUAAGGCCAUCGGCCUACUGGUGCUGGUGCUGGCGGUGCUGCGGAUCGGCAACCCGGUUCGGGCCCGGCCACCGCCG
rnacentral:tRNA from 1 species